UUGUGAGAGGUGUUCGGGUAGGACAAAGGUCAGAAGGAAAUGGUGCAUAUGGAAGUUUCAUGCCACAUUGCUACAAUUUCCACAUAUUGUCCGAAAAUUUGGCUCUGAAAUACUGCAACAGUCUGUUAGGGAGCGCAUUCGCCUAGAAAGAUGAAAGAAGAAAUGACCUAUUCCAGAGGUCCAAGGUUCAAAACUUUGCCAGUACAACGUAAGAUAAUUGAGCAGUGACUCUUACCUACGGUUCACAAGGAUACUGGAGUCCUCCAUCAAAGACACCAGAUUCAUGUUCGACAUCAUGCGCACCCAAGCCAAGAUUGUCUCGCUUGUCGAAGUUGGUUUUAAUGCAACUAGCAUUUUGUUCAUGGAAUUUUGACAGAAAUAAGGGGAAAAAA